UUGAACGCUGGCGGCAUGCUUUACACAUGCAAGUCGAACGGUAACAGGGAGCUUGCUCCGCUGACGAGUGGCGAACGGGUGAGUAAUGCAUCGGAACGUACCCAGUCGUGGGGGAUAACGUAGCGAAAGUUACGCUAAUACCGCAUACGUCCUGAGGGAGAAAGCGGGGGACCGUAAGGCCUCGCGCGAUUGGAGCGGCCGAUGUCGGAUUAGCUAGUUGGUGGGGUAAAGGCCUACCAAGGCGACGAUCCGUAGCGGGUCUGAGAGGAUGAUCCGCCACACUGGGACUGAGACACGGCCCAGACUCCUACGGGAGGCAGCAGUGGGGAAUUUUGGACAAUGGGGGCAACCCUGAUCCAGCCAUGCCGCGUGAGUGAAGAAGGCCUUCGGGUUGUAAAGCUCUUUCAGCAGGAGCGAAACGGUCGUUUUUAAUACAGACGGCUAAUGACGGUACCUGCAGAAGAAGCACCGGCUAACUACGU
rnacentral:rRNA from 1 species